rfam:TPA: Bos taurus chromosome 19, whole genome shotgun sequence.
UCCCUGGUGGUUCAGUGGUUAGGACUCUGUGCUGUCACUGCUGAGGUCCCAGGUUGAAUCCCUGGUCAGGGAA